UCAAAAUCCUGCCAUCAUGCUGGUCUCCAGGCUGCUGUGGGCAUUCACAGUUUCCUCUGCUUAGUUACAAAUAAUUGCAAACCAGGGUGUCGGCUGCCUGUCAGCUCUCAGAGGUGAAAUGGGACAGAGGAGGAGAUGUCUCAACUAUAUAUCAGCUCUCCUCCUGCAUCAAUCAUUAAUGAGUUCUUUUGACCCCAAAAAUCAAAAGAUUGGCUAUUUUAGAGACCUGGUCUGAAGUUUCUUUUCUAGUGGUCUAUUUGCCUUGGUUCUUUUAUAUUAAUUCAUCCAUGAAAACAGUGAAGCCAAAUGGAAGACUGACAGCUGCUUUCCACAUGACGUGUAUCAGAUUACAAAACUUCAGUCACCAACUUCUGUAUUGACAUGUACUCAGUGUUUGUAGCCUUUCAAUAUCAUGUUUUGCAGGAGUGCACUGUAGCACUGUGUCACAGAAAGACCUGGCCUGCUCAUCUUGACCUUAUUUUCAAAGAGAAAAAUAAUGAACUGCCCACAAGUGAUACUGAACACUUUGGACCAAAGGGAUAGAAAAUGUGACAUAAGGACAAUUCUAAGGCACAUGAUCUAAUAAAUACAAUUCUACUUGUAGAGGCAACUGGACUGAAUAUCCUGAUCCUCUUCAAAGGCCAGUAAAUAAAGCUCAAUGUCACAUUUCAUAAGAAUCAUAUUUUAUUCCUGUAAUAAUUUCAUAAAAACACAAACAACUAAAUAGAUUCUGAAAGUCAGAAGGACUGAUUUUUUUAAGUAAGAUAACUUUAUUGACAAACCUUAGUACAGCCCUAGAAAAAAAGAGAUACAUUAAUUAUUUUGGAUAAGACUGCCUUUCACCAAGAAAGCUGAACAUCUGUGGGUUUUAAUAAAGGGUCACUUUGCUGUACAACAAAAAUUGAAGAAACAUUGUAAAUCAACUAUGCUUUAAUUUUAAAUAAAUCACCACCAAAAAGAGUCAUUAGAUGCUAAAUGGAGAAAAGUAAGUAUAGGUUAAAUGAUGAUGAUUAACUAGAUUAAAAGAAGUAUACAUAGCCUAUUUUUUCAAUAAGUUAGUAAAAUUUUUCUGCGGAAUAAUUACCAAUGUAUGCCAUCUUGUUUAGUCUUCAGCUCCCCUUGGCUCAAACCAUUGCUUUUUCCAAUUCCUUUUUUAGGAUCUGUCUAACAUAAUGACCUGGGAAAGACAAGUAGACAAAGUAAAAGUUUGUGGGGAGCCAGACUUUUUCUCAUCUGUGCAUAGAACACGUGGUCUAUGAACAUAACAAGCCCUGCUUCCUGUCUGGGGGAGUCACACAGGAACCCAGGGACUAUGUAUAUGAGCUGCCAGGCACUCCAAGACACUGAACGCUCAGCCUGAGGCACAACAAAACACUCUUGUGCAGGGAAUCCGUGCCACAUGCCGCUCUCCAGCCUGCUCUGGCUCUUCCUGGCCUCCGUCUUCUCUGGAUCCGGUGUGACCCAGAAAGUUACUCAAGACCAGCCAGUUGUAUCUAGGCAAGUUGGAGAGGAAGUCACCUUAAACUGUCGCUAUGAAACAAGUUGGAAUGAAUACAUUCUUUUUUGGUAUAAACAGCCUCCCAGUGGAGAGAUGACUUUCCUUAUUCGUCAGGAAUCCAAAGGCUUGAACACAAAGGAUGGCCGCUACUCCACAAACUUCCAGAAAGCACAAAAUUUCAUCAGCCUCACCAUUUCAGCCUUACAGCUGCAAGAUUCUGCUAAGUACUUCUGUGCUCUCCGGGAGCUCACAGUGCCUGAAGCAAUAGGAGAGGCUGAACAAAAACCCCAGAGCUCAAUACAAGAGAGGCCCCCUGCUGCAGGACCCAAGCUGAAAUGCACACCUGCAGACCCCAGACAAGAAGUGGUUGUCCUGUGGUUGCUUCAUCUGUGGUCUGGACAAGAUUACUUUCUAAAUAAAAGUUCCUUCCAUUUCCUUUGGAAGCAGGUGUUAGAGUAACUUCCCACUAUUACAUUCACAUCUUGAAUUUUUAUUUUUAAAUAAUAUAGAACAUGUAUAAAGUUGUCUAAAUUUGAAAGCUUGCCCCAAAAUAAUUUAAAGUGGAAAUUUCACCUACAGAUGUUGACAUCACUAAUCUGGACUAGUUAUCUAGAAUUGUCAUGAAAAUCAUUUCCUUGGGUCUUUCUUCAGAGACUUUGUGUCCCUUAGGGUACAGUUAGAGAAGCAGAACCACAUGUGAUAUAGAAUAAGAGACACCAUGAGGAACAGAACUCAUGUAAAUGCUAGAGCUUGUGGAGGAGCCAAGCAGAGAUGUUAUCUUUCUAUCUGGUAUGCAUCCUGAAUUUACUGUAAGUCAACUAGGGUAACCUAUGUAAAGGGAAGUUGGAUGUGAACAAAAACAUGGACAAACUGUGACUCAUCGGGACAUACUAGGACCAUGAAGACAAUUGAAACCCACAAAGACACAUUAAAUCUUGUCUGAAUUUCACCUCCUUCAGUCACACAGUAAUGGGUGAUUUUCAGAAGUCAGCGGCAUUUGCCAUCAUGCUACACGCAUACUUGGUCCAAGAUAGAAGAUAAGGGAGAGAUCUGCUGGGAAGUGGAGUAGUUGACUCAUCGAUAAGAUGAACUAGCUGAUCAGCAACAACAUGUAUGAGUCACUAUAGUCCAUGCAGCCCUGCACAGACCAGCAGAACAAACAAAAAUAUGGUGGCUUGUAGUUCCUCUGGUGGCACAGUGGUAAAGAACCCAACUAGUAUCCAUGAGGACCUGGGUUUGAUCCCUGGACUUUCUCAGUAGGUUAAGGAUCCGGUGUUGCCAUGAGCUGUGGUGUAGGUCACAGAUGGGGCUUGAAUCUGGUGUUGCUUGUGGCUGUGACAUAGGCUGGCAUCUGCAACUCUGAUUCGACCCCUAACCUAGGAACUUCCACAUGCCCUGGGUGCACCCUGAGAAAGACAAAAUAUAUAUACAUACACAGAGAGAGAGAUAUAUAUGGUGGCUUCAUUACAUCCACUUUCCGAAUCUUGCACAAAUCUCUUUCAUGGAUAACCGUAACUCAGAAUAAUACAGGGAAGCAAAUUCUGGGAAAUACAUUUCCAAAACAGUUUUGUUGAGACAAUAUAAAGCUACCACAGUAGCUUGUUAACUAGUUUACUUGCCUCCCUAUUAGCUGAGUAUCUAUCUAUACCCCUUUUAACAACACAAUUUAAAUAAAGACAACAGCAAAACUAUGCUUCCUACUAAUAUGAUAUAAUUUUUCUCAUUAAGCCCAAAACAAGAUAACUCUCUCCGGCAAAGAGUAAACCCAGUUGAUUUAACCAUUUUGGGGUGAUGUUGUUUCUGCUAUCUAGUCACAUUCUCCCCAAAAUCCUGUAUCAUAAAUAUUGAGAUGUAUCAAAUUUUAAGAUUAACCUAUAUUAGCGCUUCUUAUGUUACUACAUGCAGGCAAAUGGGAGAGGAGAGAUAAAAAUGGUUUUGCUAUGGAUACAUAAGUAUAUAAAUAUAUCCAUAUCAAAAUGAAAAAAGAAAUAUUCUAACCAUUAUAGAUCUUGCUUUUGUAAGUGACCAAAUGUUUGUAGCUGGUAUUUAUAACUUCCUCUUCCACUAGUCCUUCCAUAACCACUUUGCUCAUAACAAGCACCUCUACUCACGGCUAUACUUGACUUUCUGUAAAACAAGCUGCUUAUACAAGAAUAAUACUGUGAGAAAUGCCAUGAAGUUGAAUAAGGGAUUCUGCAAGUACACUACUGUGGUUUUGGCAGAAAUUUGUAAGGCAUUGAAGGCAAAUCCAAAGUCCUAUUUAGUGGAAAUAAUUUUGCCAAUGCUAUACAAUGAUAUAUUUUAUUCUGGGAAACAUCAUUAAGAAUCUUACUGAGUUCUUUUCAGAAGUCGAAAUCACCAGGGGAAAGCAUUUCUAGAGUGCUUAAAGAAAAACAAAACUUUCAAGCUAGCCUCCUAUAAACAUGAAAGCAUAUUUUUAAAUUGUCCUUGUUAAAAAUUACUGCUAAGAGGAUGGAAAGUCAAUGCCCAGGCAGGUAAACUAUAUUAGCAAUGCAUACUGCUAAAAAAGACUCAAAUGUGGGGGGGGGGAGUUCAUAUAAACCAACAAGAAAAAAAAAA